UGACCGCCCCGGUGAGGGCACCUGCGCGCUGGGUGCGCCUGCGGGAGGUCGGACAAAGGCGGCGCCACCAUGGCUCUCAGCGCGGCCGACAAAGGCUCCGGCACCAAGGAAUGGAGCAAGAGCCACAAAAUGGAGAGCCUGCUGAAAAUAAGAUCAUCAAGGAAGCAUACAAGAAGGCAUUUUUAUUUGUUAAUAAGGGACUGAAUACAGAUGAAUUAGGUCAGAAGGAAGAAGCAAAGAACUACUAUAAGCAAGGAACAGGACACUUGCUCAGAGGAAUCACGUAUCAUCGACAUAGGUGCUGGGUGGGAAUCUGCUAGGCAGAUGCAACAGAAAAUGAAAGAAACACUACAGAAUGUAUGUACCAGGUUGGAAAUUCUGGAAAAGGGUCUUGCCACUUCUCUACGGAAUGAUCUUCAGGAAGUACCCAAGUUAUAUCCAGAAUUUCCACCUAAAGACAUGCCUGAAAAGUCACCAGAGCCUCAAUCCUUUGGUUCACCUCCUCAGCACACUGAAGUAAAUGGAAACACUUCAACGACAAGUACAGGGUUGGUUCCUGCACCUAGUUCUUUAUCCUUACCAUCUCAGAGUCCUCCAGCAGAAGCACCUCCUGCUUAUAACCCUCAGGCUGCUGAGGGUCAUUACACUGUAUCCUAUGGAAUAGAAUCUGGGGAAUUUUCAUCAGUUGGAGAAGACUUUUAUAGGAAUCAUUCUCAGCCACCUCCUCUUGAGACCUUACGGCUAGAUGCAGAUGAGUUGAUUCUGAUACCAAACGGAGUACAGAUUUUUUUUGUAAAUCCUGCAGGGGAGGUUAGUGCGCCUUCAUAUCCAGGGUACCUUCGAAUUGUGAGGUUCUUGGAUAAUUCUCUUGAUACUGUCCUAAACCGUCUUCCUGGGUUCCUUCAGGUAAACCAACGAAAAAUGUAAAUAUAAUUUGAAAUAUGUAUAGAAUACAUCAUUUUUGUUUGUCAGUAUUUAUUAUGUGUCCAGGACAAUAAGUGCAAAAAGAUUAUUCUAGUUCCUUAUUAAUAUAUUCUGUGAAAUUUGUGAACCGUAAAUAUCUAUGUGUUUAAUAGAUUCUUUUAUUAAAGAUACAAAAUACUCUUUUAUUUUUUUCAAAAUUAUGUUUUUGUAUUAAAAUUGUGAUGACAAGAUCUGAGGGGCAUCGGAGAAUUCAUCCUUAAAAUUUUAAUUCUUUAUUGAAGAAGAAACCUAAUAACUUCAAUUUCAAAAGGGAUUUAUGUAACUCAUGUGGAUGUGUUACUGUAAAUUUCCACAAAUGUUGUCAAUUCCCAUCUGAGGGGUUGAUCAGGGCUAGACCCAGCCCAGUAUGUCGAACAGGGGUUCUCAACCAGGGAUGAUCCCCCUCCACUCUUCAACCCAAGGACAUUUUGACAAUGUCUGGAGACAUGUUGGUUGUCACAACUGGGGGGUGGGUUGUGCUACUGCUACCGGCAUAUAGUAGAUAAAGGCCAGGUGGAACUGCUAAACUUCUAAACAGGAUCACUUCGUCAAUCAAUAUUAUCUAACCCAAAAUGUUAAUCAUGCAGAGGUUAAGAAACUUUAGUAUAGAAGUAGAGAUUGUGAUGAUAAUUUAAGAUGCAUUUCUAACAUUCCAAGGAGAUAAAUUUAUCGGAAAUGCCCUUGGUCCAAGAGUAAAGACUGGUGCCAAAUAACAGCUGGUGUUGUUAGGGCACUGCUGUGGAAUUAAUGAAAUAUUCUAAAGGCAAUAUUUUGAAGGUGAUGUAAUAACAAUCUGUUUUUAAAUGAUAGGACGUCAGUAUAGGGAGUUGGGUUCUAGAAAUGAGGACUCCAUUUACACUGGGUAUGACAGAGAAGUUUGCAUGCAUGUCAGGAAGAUGACUAUUUGAACAAAGCAGGUCAUUUUGUCCAGAGUCCAGAUGAUGCCAUUGGUUUAGUUACAGCACUAGUUACCUAGAUUGAUUUUGUCUUUUGGUAUAUUCCACUUUUAAUUCUUAUGCAGCUUUUACAUGGAAUCAACCUGAAAGAUGUUUUAAAGGUAGUUGGAGACUUACUAAGUGUGUAUGAAGGAGUUAUUUGGGGGCAUUGCUGAAAAAAAAAGACUUCAUUAUUGGAUAGGAAGAAUAUUUUGUAUCCCGUAGGUUAUUUUAGGAAAGAAUCCUUGAGGUAGAAAGAGUAGGCAUAUUGAUUGGGGAUUGCGAAGAGGCUCAUAAAAGCUGUAAUACUUUCUGCUGAACUGGUAAUAGAGCUGUGUUGUAACAGUGGAAUUUAAAACCUUUGGGGAGAGGGCGGUGCCUGGAUGGCUGUUAAGUGUCAGACUCUUGAUUUCAGUGCAGGUCACCAUCUCAGGGUUGUGAUAUCAAGCAAGGCUCCAUGUUGGGCAUAGACCCUCCUUAAGAUUCUCUCUCUCCUUCCCCCUCUGACCCCCCCAAAAAACCAUAAAUACAUACAUACAUACAUACAUACAUACAUACAAUAAAAUACAAUAAACAAUAAACCUUUGGGGCCCAGCCUACUGGAGAUAUGGGAAAUGAAUAUCAGAAACACUCGGUUACAUGAGCUCAACCAAUAAAAUGACUUGUUCUGUAGUAAAAAUUUAUCCUGUUUGAGUGCUAUAAAUAAAGUGUUUUUAAUCUUUCAGUAUCUCCUAUUUUUGGUUGUAAAUAAUAAGUAAAAUUUCACCCAAAGUUUAAUUUGAGUCUCUUGAAGGGGCUCUCAUUUGCAUGUAUUCAGAUAUGUGUAACAGUGACCUAAAAGGCAGUUAACUUGUGUUUACUGAAUGUCUCUGUUCUGAAAAACAAACACUAAAUCAGCUGAGUAUUAGAAGUUAAAUAUAAUUUUUUUAAAUAUAACUUUUU